AGUACGGCGAGUGAAGCGGCAAUAGCUCAAAUUUGAAAGCUGGCACCUUCGGUGUCCGCGUUGUAAUUUGUAGAGGAUGCUUCGGCGAGGACUCCUGCCUAAGUCCCCUGGAACGGGGCGUCAUAGAGGGUGAGAAUCCCGUAUGUGGCGGGCAGUCCAAGCCAUGUGAAGCUCCUUCGACGAGUCGAGUUGUUUGGGAAUGCAGCUCUAAAUGGGAGGUAAAUUUCUUCUAAAGCUAAAUAUUGGCCAGAGACCGAUAGCGCACAAGUAGAGUGAUCGAAAGAUGAAAAGCACUUUGGAAAGAGAGUUAAAAAGUACGUGAAAUUGUUGAAAGGGAAGCGCUUGCAACCAGACUCGCUCGUAGUUGCUCAGCCGGCCUCUUGGCCGGUGUACUCUUCUACGAUCGGGCCAGCAUCAGUUCGGGCGGCCGGAUAAAGGUGUCGGGAAUGUAGCACCCUUCGGGGUGUGUUAUAGCCCGGCGCGGAAUGCGGCCAGCCUGGACUGAGGAUCUCGCUUCGGCAAGGAUGCUGGCGUAAUGGUUGUAAGCGGCCCGUCUUGAAACACGGACCAAGGAGUCUAACAUCUAUGCGAGUGUUUGGGUGUCAAACCCAUGCGCGUAAUGAAAGUGAACGGAGGUGGGAACCCCUCGCGGGGUGCACCAUCGACCGAUCCUGAUGUCUUCGGAUGGAUUUGAGUAAGAGCAUAGCUGUUGGGACCCGAAAGAUGGUGAACUAUGCCUGAAUAGGGUGAAGCCAGAGGAAACUCUGGUGGAGGCUCGCAGCGGUUCUGACGUGCAAAUCGAUCGUCAAAUUUGGGUAUAGGGGCGAAAGACUAAUCGAACCAUCUAGUAGCUGGUCCCUGCCGAAGUUUCCCUCACGAUAGCAGUAACGAA
rnacentral:rRNA from 1 species